UACGGAGGGUGCAAGCGCUAUCCGGAUUUACUGGGUUUAAAGGGUGUGUAGGUGGCGCCGUAAGUCGGGUGUGAAAUUUCGGAGCUUAACUCCGAAACUGCAUUCGAUACUGCGGUGCUUGAGGACUGGAGAGGAGACUGGAAUUCAUGGUGUAGCAGUGAAAUGCGUAGAGAUCAUGAGGAAGACCAGUGGCGAAGGCGGGUCUCUGGACAGUUCCUGACACUGAGACACGAAGGCCAGGGGAGCAAACGGG
rnacentral:rRNA from 1 species